rnacentral:rRNA from 1 species
GAUGAACGCUGGCGGCGUGCCUAAUACAUGCAAGUCGAGCGAACGGACGAGAAGCUUGCUUUUCUGAUGUUAGCGGCGGACGGGUGAGUAACACGUGGAUAACCUACCUAUAAGACUGGGAUAACUUCGGGAAACCGGAGCUAAUACCGGAUAAUAUUUUGAACCGCAUGGUUCAAAAGUGAAAGACGGUCUUGCUGUCACUUAUAGAUGGAUCCGCGCUGCAUUAGCUAGUUGGUAAGGUAACGGCUUACCAAGGCAACGAUGCAUAGCCGACCUGAGAGGCUGAUCGGCCACACUGGAACUGUGACACGGUCCAUACUCCUACGGGAGGCAGCAGUAGGGAAUCUUCCGCAAUGGGCGAAAGCCUUACGGAGCAACGCCGCGUGAGUGAUGAAGUUCUUCGGAUCGUAAAACUCUGUUAUUAGGGAAGAACAUAUGUGUAAGUAACUGUGCACAUCUUGACGGUACCUAAUCAGAAAGCUACGGCUAACUACGUG